rnacentral:rRNA from 1 species
GACGAACGCUGGCGGCGUGCCUAAUACAUGCAAGUCGAGCGCAGGAAGCUGACGGAACUCUUCGGAGGGAAGGCAGUGGAAUGAGCGGCGGACGGGUGAGUAACACGUAAGGAACCUGCCUCAAGGAUUGGGAUAACUCCGAGAAAUCGGAGCUAAUACCGGAUAGUUCAACGGACCGCAUGGUCCGCUGAUGAAAGGCGCUCCGGCGUCACCUUGAGAUGGCCUUGCGGUGCAUUAGCUAGUUGGUGGGGUAACGGCCCACCAAGGCGACGAUGCAUAGCCGACCUGAGAGGGUGGUCGGCCCCACUGGGACUGAGACACGGCCCAGACUCCUACGGGAGGCAGCAGUAGGGAAUCUUCCACAAUGGACGAAAGUCUGAUGGAGCAACGCCGCGUGAGUGAUGAAGGUUUUCGGAUCGUAAAACUCUGUUGUAAGGGAAGAACACGUACGAGAGGAAAUGCUCGUACCUUGACGGUACCUUACGAGAAAGCCACGGCUAACUACGUGCCAGCCGCCGCCGUAA